rnacentral:rRNA from 1 species
CGUAGGGUGCAAGCGUUAAUCGGAAUUACUGGGCGUAAAGCGUGCGCAGGCGGUUUCGUAAGUCUGUCGUGAAAUCCCCGGGCUCAACCUGGGAAUGGCGAUGGAGACUGCGAGGCUAGAGUUUGGCAGAGGGGGGUAGAAUUCCACGUGUAGCAGUGAAAUGCGUAGAGAUGUGGAGGAACACCGAUGGCGAAGGCAGCCCCCUGGGUCAAAACUGACGCUCAUGCACGAAAGCGUGGGGAGCAAACAGGAUUAGAUACCCUGGUAGUCCACGCCCUAAACGAUGUCUACAAGUUGUUGGGUCUUAAUUGAACUUAGUAACGCAGCUAACGCGUGAAGUAGACCGCCUGGGGAGUACGGUCGCAAGAAUU